rnacentral:rRNA from 1 species
UGCUGGAGCGAUUUGUCUGUUUAUUUGUCUGGCUAGUUCCGUUAACGAACGAGACCUUAACAACUUGUUUAAAAAGUUACCUGUGCCUUCGGUUACAUGGGCACUUGCUCAGUACUCUGCGUGUUUAUGGCAAGAAAGCUUGAGUCAGCAACA